UAUUGAAAAAAUCACACAUUUUAAAAUUAAUAGUCCUUAAAUAUUUUAUUUGUGGUUAAUACACUUAUACCAAUAAUUCAAGUAUGUGUAAGAUUUCUUUUUCAAAAUCACUGCUGCUAUUUGAUUACCUCUUUGGUCACUAGCUGGAUGAGAAAGAACAGAUGGAAUUAUAGCAGAUGGGUCACUACAGUACUAAAAAUCAGUGAGGCUUACUAAAGCACAAAGAGAAAAAAGAAAUAGAACAGUAACUUACUCCCCUAUGAAGUAAUAUGAAGUCCUCUAACAUACUUGUAUUUGGACUCCUAGAAGUUGGGAUAGGGGAGACAAAAACAAUGUAAGAAAUAAUGUCUGAAAGUUUUCCUAAUUGAUGAAAACUAUAAACCCACAGAUCCAAGAAAUUCAACAAGCAGGGAAGCACAUAAAGAACCUCACAGGCUUCCCUGGUGGCGCAGUGGUUGAGAGUCCGCCUACCGAUGCAGGGGAUACGGGUUCGUGCCCCAGUCCGGGAAGAUCCCACAUGCUGCGGAGUGGCUGGGCCCGUGAGCCAUGGCCGCUGAGCCAGCGCAUCCAGAGCCUGUGCUCCGCAACGGGAGAGGCCACGACAGUGAGAGGCCCAAGUACUGCAAAAAAAAAAAAAAAGAAAACCUCACUAAGGUUAGAGGCCUUGGCAUGACAUCUUUAAAGUACCGUAGGAAAUAAACCCGUUGACCUAGAAUUCUAUAUUCAGCAAAAAUAUCCUUCAGAAAAGGAGACGGGCAUUGGGAGCAAUUCCAGGUCUAUGCAGAAAACAAGCAAGAGUAGCCUGAGACAUAUUCUUGGGCUGGGAAGCAAGGACACUAUCAAAGCUGACUGCGGGCAAGGCAGAUGAUACCCAAACGUAUGAACCAAGAGGCUGAAACAUAGAUCAUUGCCUCCCUGAUAAGAAUAUCAGUGCCUAGGAAGGAAGCCUUCAGCAGCAACGUUGAAAUGACACAUGAAAGGACAAAUGAUGUGGGGAACUUGUAAACCAUUUCACAUCUUGCCGAAUGACUUUGUGUAUUUGUGAUUUUUUUAAGAUGACAAUUUAAAAAUAU